GUUGAUGAUUUUUUACCUAGUGACAUUAAUAACCUUUCUAAUUUGCGUUAUCUUGACUUGUCUUGGAAUUAUAUUUCAUCGAUAUAUAGGAUUGGGAAGCUAAACUCUCUUCUAGAAUUGUAUUGGUUUGAUCUUAGAAAAGAGAUGGGCUAUAGAAUUGAUGAGUUGAAGUAUUUGAAUGAUCUUUGCAAAUUAGGAAUCAACCGCCUUGAAAAUGUGAAGGACGCCAAGGAGGGUCAUCUUCAGUUCAGAUGCUAUCUAUUCAUAACGUUCCUAUGCUUUGUUCUGAAAGUUAGGUCUUCUCUUUGUGAGCUGGAAUUUGGUCAGCUCAAAUCUUUAUUAAGCGCUCACAUUAGGUCCAACUGCUUUAAGGAAAUUUUCAAAAUACAAAAGCAAACUUCCUUCUUCUUAUCUUAUUUGUUUGAUAUGAAAUAUGAAGAAUGCAAUCUCAGCAUUAACCAGUUUGUAUCACUUGAUCGAUGCACUCAAUUUUGUUUAUGUAUGAUUUGGUGGUCCCUUUAUAUAGAAAUAUAUUCUUCUUUUGUUAUAUAUGUCGUUAAAUUUCAGAUUUUCAUCAUUUCUUUGGUUGAAAGGCUGCGAGAGAACCACCCCAAGAUCCAAGCUGUCUUCUUUGCAACCAACCAACCACAAAUUAGCGAUCAGAACCCGGCUAUCAACAAAUGGAUAUGGAAGCUGCGAGUUGCUAUUGAUGGGCAGAUGAUGUGCUCGAUGAGUUUUAGUACAUGAAGCAUAAACAAAAGUUCCCCAAAAACACAAAAGAAACAAAGCUCAAGUACAAAUCUCCUUGGAAGCAUCCUCCUAAUAGAGCUUCCAAAUGCUGGAAGCUUCUUUGCUUGGUGGCUUUGAAGAUAAAAGGUUUGAUUUCCUUCUCUAUUAUGAAAAACAGCAAAUUGUCCCUCCUAUAGGACUCAUGGUGCAAUGGUUAUGCCUUAUACGGAUUCGUGGAUGGUGAUAAUCUUAACUUAACAGAUUUGCCCUGAAUUCUAUUAUUUUUGUUCAUAGCUGUAAAAUUCCUCCUCUUUUUUCUCUGACUGUCAAAAA